rnacentral:rRNA from 2 species
UAAGGUAGUAGUAGUUAUGAUCUUGAAACUUAAAAAAUUUGGCGGUAUUUUAUUCUAUUCAGAGGAACCUGUUUUAUAAUCGAUAAUCCACGAUGGACCUUACUUAAUUUUGUUAUCAGUUUAUAUACCGUCGUUAUUAGAAUAUUUUAUAAGAAUUUUAAUUUUCAUAAUUUUAAAAAAUAAAGUAUAUCAGAUCAAGGUGUAGCUUAUAUUUAAGUAAAAAUGGGUUACAAUAAAUUUAUUUAAAUGAAUAUAAAUUUGAAAUGUUUAUUGAAGGUGGAUUUGAUAGUAAAAUUAUAUAGAUUAAUAAU